UAGGGGUCCAUCCCGGAUUACCAACCCGAUGCAAACUACGAAUACCAAAGAGUGAUACUCAGGAGACACACGGCGGGUGCUAACGUUCGUCGUGGAGAGGGAAACAACCCAGACCGCCAGCUAAGGUCCCAAAGUCUAUAUUAAGUGGGAAACGAAGUGGGAAGGCUUAGACAGCUAGGAUGUUGGCUUAGAAGCAGCCAUCAUUUAAAGAAAGCGUAAUAGCUCACUAGUCGAGUCGGCCUGCGCGGAAGAUGUAACGGGGCUGAAAUAUAGCACCGAAGCUGCGGCAUCAGACGAAAGUCUGUUGGGUAGGGGAGCGUUGUGUAAGCGGAUGAAGGUUAAUCGAGAGGUUAGCUGGACGUAUCACAAGUGCGAAUGCUGACAUAAGUAACGAUAAAACGAGUGAAAAACUCGUUCGCCGGAAGACCAAGGGUUCCUGUCCAACGUUAAUCGGGGCAGGGUGAGUCGGCCCCUAAGGCGAGGCUGAAAAGCGUAGUCGAUGGGAAACAGGUUAAUAUUCCUGUACUUGGUAAAGCUGCGAUGUGGGGACGGAGUAGGUUAGGUUAGCGUGCUGUUGGAUAUGCACGUUUAAGUUGGUAGGUGGGAAGUUUAGGCAAAUCCGGACUUCCUUAACACUGAGAGAUGAUGACGAGGCUCUACGGAGCUGAAGUAACUGAUACCACACUUCCAGGAAAAGCCACUAAGCGACAGGUUUUACUAAACCGUACUGAAAACCGACACAGGUGGUCAGGUAGAGAAUACUCAGGCGCUUGAGAGAACUCGGGUGAAGGAACUAGGCAAAAUAGCACCGUAACUUCGGGAGAAGGUGCGCCGGCGUAGAUUGUAAGGGCUAGCCCCUGAAGGUUGAACCGGUCGAAGAUACCAGCUGGCUGCAACUGUUUAUUAAAAACACAGCACUCUGCAAACACGAAAGUGGAGGUAUAGGGUGUGAUGCCUGCCCGGUGCUGGAAGGUUAAUUGAUGGUGUAAUCGAAAGAGAAGCACCUGAUCGAAGCCCCAGUAAACGGCGGCCGUAACUAUAACGGUCCUAAGGUAGCGAAAUUCCUUGUCGGGUAAGUUCCGACCUGCACGAAUGGCAUAAUGAUGGCCAGGCUGUCUCCACCCGAGACUCAGUGAAAUUGAAAUCGCCGUGAAGAUGCGGUGUACCCGCGGCUAGACGGAAAGACCCCGUGAACCUUUACUAUAGCUUGACACUGAACAUUGAAUUUUGAUGUGUAGGAUAGGUGGGAGACUAAGAAGUAGGAACGCCAGUUUCUAUGGAGUCAUCCUUGAAAUACCACCCUUUAACGUUUGAUGUUCUAACGAAGAUUACGAAACGUGGUCUCGGACAGUGUCUGGUGGGUAGUUUGACUGGGGCGGUCUCCUCCCAAAGCGUAACGGAGGAGCACGAAGGUUUGCUAAUCACGGUC
rnacentral:rRNA from 1 species